AACGAACGCUGGCGGCAUGCCUAACACAUGCAAGUCGAACGAGACCUUCGGGUCUAGUGGCGCACGGGUGCGUAACGCGUGGGAACCUGCCCUUAGGUUCGGAAUACCUCCCCGAAAGGGGUGCUAAUACCGGAUAAUGUCUUAGGACCAAAGAUUUAUUGCCUCUGGAUGGGCCUGCGUUGGUUUCGCUAGUUGGUAGGGUAAACGCCUGCCAAGGCGGCGAUCCAUAGCUGGUCUGUGAGGAUGAUCAGCCACACUGGGACAGGGACACGGCCCAGACGCCUACGGGAGGCAGCAAUGGUGAAGAUGUGACAAGGGGCGAAAGCCUGAUCCAGCAAGGCCGCGAGAGUGAUGAAGGCGUUAGGGUUGUAAAGCUCUUUUACCCGGGAUGAUAAGAAGGGAACCGGUAGAAAAGGCCCCGGCAAAUACCGU
rnacentral:rRNA from 1 species